ensembl:lncRNA
CAGCACCACACCAAAAGGAGGCAGCAAAUCAGAGCUAAUCAUAUCUAUCUGCGUUUCAUUUCCACAUGGUAAGAGAGCAACACAAAACAGGUUUAUAAUAUUUGAAUGUUUUAUUUUCUUUAAAUCAAGCAGGUUACAUCAUUAGUUUUUACACAAUCUGAUAUUUGGAGCCAUUUGCAAAUAUGCUCAUAAAUUACAUGAUUUGUAAUCCUUAUCGAAAAAAAAAUCAUAAAAGAAUGAGGUGGUUAAUGAUCAAUAUUGGGAUCAACAGUGAUCACCCUACAAAUGUAGGCAUUACGUGCAGGCAGAAAAAUAAAAGUUCCCAUUAAGGUCUGUGGUGUGAAACACCACAGGUCUGAACUACUCAGGAACACAUGAAAAUGGCACAAAAAUGAAUUUCACUCUCCAACCUUUUGCUAAAGAGACGUUGACAGGCCCACAGAGAGCCUGGAGCUCACGGGACAACAUUCACACACAUUCUGCUUCAUGAAGAGGUCAGAUUAUCGUCAGACCAUAGACAUUACAUGUAAGGACACUGAACAUUUGGCGAACAAAUGCGGCAAACAAAUGUUCAAAUAUCCUCCAAAGCACUUCAAGCCCUCAAAGAAUGAGACUCAAAACACAGAUGAGGUAACAGAAGAAACUUCUAAAUCAAAGUGGAGCGACCCAGGGACAAGUCUGGUUUGGGUUAAAGAUUAUGGAUGGUUAACUUUGUGUAACGUGUUUGGACAACCAAGUUCAGGUAUUAGGCAAACGAGUUUAGGCAGGCGACUUCAGGUAUUAGCCAAGCGAGUUUAGCCAAGCGAGUUUAGGUUUUAUGCAAGCGAGUUUAGGUUUAUGCAAGCGAGUUUAGGUUUUAGGCAAGCGGGUUUAUGCAAGCGAGUUCAGGUAUUAGGCAAGCGGGUUUAGGCAAGCGAGUUUAGGCAAGCGAGUUUAGGCAAGCGAGUUUAGGCAAGCGAGUUUAGGCAAGCGAGUUUAGGCAAGCGUUUAGGCAAGCGAGUUCAGGUAUUAGGCAAGCGACGCGAGUUUAGCCAAGCAAGUUCAGGUUUUAUGCAAGCGAGUUUAGACAAGCGAGUUUAGGCAAGCAAGUUUAGGUAACAGUCAAGUUACUUUAGGCCUCACUUUCUUUGCGGUUAAAUUGCGGCAUUAGGUUUAGAAAGAAGGUUAAGAUCCAGGCUCAGGUUUGCUUCCAGCCUCGUCCCUUUAGCCGCUCCCUAUAAAGAGGGGUCCCAGCUACCGUGUUACAAUACAACAGCUGGGAUUACAGAUGUGGACUACAGAAAUAAAUGACAAAGAUUGAUUCAAACAUUCUUUCCCAAAAUGUGGUGCAACAUAAUGGAGAAAAUAAUUACUUUCUCUGCACCACGACACCCAGCUGCCGCACAUCUGGUCUCCCUUUAAGUCACCUGAAGGAGAGGUCAACUUUAUUGAACCUAAGGGAAAUGGAUCACAAGAAAAGGUAAGGAUAAAUCAAAGCUAAACAUAGAAAGGAUGAAAACAAGCAUUGUCCAACAUGGGGUUCGGUGAUAUUUUGAUGUAAAAACAUUUAGGUGUACGAUCCAACCAUCAAAAACAGGCUCUUAUCAUGUUUCCAAUGUGCCCCGAGUUGCUACGCCCACAUCGGCCACCAGGUGGCAGACUUGAUUUUGUCAGUAGAAGGCGCAAAAUAGCCAUCCAGCUUGAUUACAGCAAUAGUAGAGGAGCGAGUCAAAAGAAUGCGUUUGAGCACCUUCAGCCAUUGGCUCUUGUUCA